rnacentral:lncRNA from 1 species
GCAGGAGAAUCGCUUGAAUCUAAGAGGCGGAGGUUACAGUGACCCGAGAUCGCACCACUGCACUCCAGCCUGGGUGACAGAGUGAGACUCUGUCUCAAAAAAAAAUAAAAAAAUAAAAAAACACAAAUAUCACCUAUAGCACUGCUGCCAACAUAACUUUAUUUGUGUAAUUUAAAAAUACGUGACCUCAAAAGGACAUUGAAACAUACCCAAAAUCUAUAAUAAAAUCCCAAAAGACUGCUCCCUCUCACUAUGUGCCUUGAUGAUGGCUACUUAAAUUUCCUACAUCCCCUUUCAGAAAAAUGAAAGACAUUUUACGAACAUAGCCAUGCCAAAGGCACGCACACAUUUUAGAAGUUCACACAAGAAGAAAUAAUACGGUAUCAGCUCCUCUGACCUGUGGUUACUAUUAUUACUUCUCACUGAAGACUCUCCUAUGAAGCUCUUCCCACAUCAGCACGUGCAUCACAAUUUCAUUCCUGUUUUGGGUGAGUGACAUCGUGUCCCAUAGCAUAUAUUUAUUUAUUUUUGUUGUUUUUGAGACAGAAUCUUACUCGUCACCCAGGCUGGAGUGCAGUGGCAUGACCUCGGCUCACUGCAACCUCUGCCUCCCAGGUUCAGGUGACUCUUGUGCCUCAGCCUCCCAAGUAGCUGGGAUUACAGGUGUGUACCACUGCAGCCAGCUCAUUUUUUGUAUUUUUAAUAGAGGCGGGAUUUCACCAUGUUGACCAGGCUGGUCUUGAACUCCUGACCUCAGAUGAUCCACCUGCCUUGGCCUCCCAAAGUGUUGGGAUUCCAGGCAAGAGCCACUGUGCCUGGGUUCCAGAGCAUGUAUUUCAUUAGCCAGUCAUCUCUUGAUGUAUGUUUUAUAUUUGGGUGUUUUUCAGGCUGUGUAGUUACAGGUCUUUAUACAGAUACAAAUCUCUUGACUUCCUUUUUUGUUUGUGAGACAGGGAGACAGGGCCUGGCUAGAGUGCAGGGCCAUGAUCAUAGCUCACUGCAGCUGAUUCCUGGGCUCAAGUGAUCCUCCUGCCUUAGCCUCCCAAAUUGCUGGGAGUACACAUGUGUGCCAUUGCACCUGGAUAGUUCUUAAAUUUCUUUUUAGAGAUAAGGUCUCAUUAUGUUGUCCAGGCUGCUUUCGUACUACUGGGCUCCAGCAUUCCUCCCGCCUUGGCCUCCCAAAGUGCUGGGAUUACAGGUGUGAGCCGCCGGGCCCAGCUCUUGACGGACUGUUGUCUCUGAAGUGAAUUCCUCAGAAUGGAGUUCUUGGGUCCACUUUCAUUUUCUUUUGAGUUUGGCUCUUGCUUUCAGAUCUAUAUUGUUCAUCCCCAGAUCUGGGGGCACCUGCUGAGAGUGACACCACACUGGAAGGGAGCUGCGUCUUUGAGGUCUCUGGGGACCUGAACUCAUUUCCUUUCCUGACUGUAGAGGGAACAUAAAAAGCUUCAAGCUCAUGGCACUGCGUGUCGGCCCGCAGUUUAGAGUAAGCUGGGUGUUAUUCCGGGUAGGAGGCACUGAUCCAUUUCAGGGGUAUGUGCCUUCAUUCAGCAAGUGCUUAUUGAGCGUCUUGUAGGUGUCAGGCACUUGGGAAGCAAAAUUAAAAAGAUAUGAUCUUCCUCCACUUGGAGCUUAUUGUUCAGUGAGGGCUGGUGUGUGAACGGCAGCCCCGUGAGACCGUCAGAAAAUGGGCGUCAAAGGGCUUGGGCCAUACUGGCAGGAGACUCAGAAAUGUGCAGGCCGACUUGGUGAUAGGGUCAGGGGCAGGGAGGAUGGGCAUUCCCGGCGGAGGCCACUGCACCUGCAAAGGCUUUGAGGCCUGAAAACAUGAGGCACGGCACCAGGGGGAACACAGACCACCAGGGGCUUGGUGUGGCCAUGGGGGAGUUCAGAAGCUAUGGCUGCAGCAUGCUCGGCCGCUCAGUGGCGCAGCACAGGACCGUGGCGCCCAGGCUGCUGGGUUCACCUGGUGUAAAAUGGUUUUGGAAUAGGUGGCAUGACGUGAUUGCCAAAUUAUUGUUUUACAAGCUAAGAAAUAAAUUUAAAAGUCAUAACGCAUGUCAUCAUCAUUUUAUUUAUUUAUUUAUUUAUUUUUGAGACAGGGUCUCACUCUGUCACCCAGCCUGGAGUGCAGUGGUGCGAUCUCGGCUUACUGCAACCUCCACCUCCUGGGUUCAAGCAAUUCUUGUGCCUCAGCCUCCUGAGUAGUUGCGAUUACAGGUGUGCCUUACCACACUUGGCUCAUUCUUUUGUAUUUUUAGAGACAGGAUUUCACCAUGUUGGCCAGGCUGGUCUUGAACUCCUGAUCACAAGUGAUCCACCCACCUCAGCCUCCCAAAGUGUUGGGGUUACAGGCAUAAGCCACCACGCCCAACCCAUUUUAUAAGUAUGUUUUGUGCCCAAUCAAGUAGCAAAGACAUAAUCUUAAAAUAAAGGACAGUUCUUCCCAAGGGGAACAAAAAGUAGGCAACCUGACACAUGCAUAGAUGAUGUACGCUGCUGUUACACACACGCACACACACUCAACUGUGUUGCUGUGAUAACAAACCACCUCAAGUCUCAGUGGCUUAAAAUAACAAAGGUUUGCCUCUCACUCAUUCAUGCUCUUGUGCACUGGCUGGAGGGGGCAGGGCUCUGCUCUCUUUGCCCUCACCCCAGAGGCCCAGGCUGAGAGCCGUCCCAUCUCCGAGCUUCAUGGGCAGUCAAGACAGAGAAAAGGGAAGGUGGCACAUCGUCCACCGUCUCUCGAAACUUCCUCCUGGAAGCGACACCUGCUAUUUCACUUACAUUUCAUUACCCAAAGCAAACCAGAUGGUCAAGUCAGAACUCAGAAAGGGUGGGGAAAUGCAAUUUUACCAAGAGGCAGGAAGAAAUAGAUAAUGGAAUAAUGCCAGUGCGUACUGCGGCUGAAUCCAGUGCAACUGAAUAGUCCUGGUUCAAACAAUUAAAAAAGACUGUGUGUGUGUACUUUCACCGGCUUCUUCACAGACCGUCGCCCAUACUUGAAUGAAUCUUCCUCCUGUGCGUGCUACUGUAUAGGAUAAAUGGAAGAGAAUGGAGGGUGUUGUCAGGGACGUUUUUGAGGAAUACUGAGGUCUACUUGGGGCGGUGAAACACGCUGGAUGAUGAGCUUCCAGCUGCUUGUUUUCCUGCUGGACUGUCUGUGAGUUCAUCUUCUUAUUUAUAGCUCCUUGUUACUGAGUGCCUCCCAGCAGCAGCUUCCUUUAGCCCUCUCUAGGAGGAGACAAAUGCCUAUUCCUGGCAGUCCGGGCAUGUCGUCUUAGGUGUCCUCUGGUGACCUAUGGUCUGGUGUUUUGCACAGUCUUCUUCACCACGUCUUCUAGGAGGAUUGAGAACUGAAUUUGAUUUUAAAACGAAGCUUGGUAAUCAAGAAUAGUAACAGCUGGCUGAGUGUGGGGGCUCACGCCUAUAAUCUCAGGACUUUGGGAGGCUGAGGCGGGUGAAUCACUUGAGGUCAGGAGUUUGAGACCAGCCUGAUCAACAUGGUGAAACCCUGUCUCUACUCAAAAAAUACAAAAAAAAAAAAAAAAAAAA